AUUGAACGCUGGCGGCAGGCCUAACACAUGCAAGUCGAACGGUAACAGGGAGCAGCUUGCUGCUCUGCUGACGAGUGGCGGACGGGUGAGUAAUGUCUGGGAAACUGCCUGAUGGAGGGGGAUAACUACUGGAAACGGUAGCUAAUACCGCAUAACGUCUUCGGACCAAAGUGGGGGACCUUCGGGCCUCUGCCAUCAGAUGUGCCCAGAUGGGAUUAGCUAGUAGGUGGGGUAAAGGCUCACCUAGGCGACGAUCCCUAGCUGGUCUGAGAGGAUGACCAGCCACACUGGAACUGAGACACGGUCCAGACUCCUACGGGAGGCAGCAGUGGGGAAUAUUGCACAAUGGGCGCAAGCCUGAUGCAGCCAUGCCGCGUGUAUGAAGAAGGCCUUCGGGUUGUAAAGUACUUUCAGCGAGGAGGAAGGGGUUGUGGUUAAUAACCGCAGUCAUUGACGUUACUCGCAGAAGAAGCACCGGCUAACUCCGUGCCAGCAGCCGCGGUAAUACGGAGGGUGCAAGCGUUAAUCGGAAUUACUGGGCGUAAAGCGCACGCAGGCGGUUUGUUAAGUCAGAUGUGAAAUCCCCGGGCUCAACCUGGGAACUGCAUUUGAAACUGGCAAGCUUGAGUCUCGUAGAGGGGGGUAGAAUUCCAGGUG
rnacentral:rRNA from 1 species